rnacentral:rRNA from 1 species
GCUAGUAAUCGCGGAUCAGCAAGCCGCGGUGAAUACGUUCCCGGGCCUUGUACACACCGCCCGUCACACCAUGAGAGUCGGGAACACCCGAAGUCCGUAGUCUAACCGCAAGGGGGGCGCGGCCGAAGGUGGGUCCGGUAAUUGGGGUGAAGUCGUAACAAGGUAAC